rnacentral:tRNA from 1 species
GGGCGAUUAGCUCAGUGGUAGAGCACUGCCUUCACACGGCAGGGGCCGUUGGUUCAAUCCCAA